UCCAUGGCGCAGCUACCAUGCAAGUCGAGCGGAAACAAAAGUACUUGCUACUCUGGCGUCGAGCGGCGGACGGGUGAGUAAUGCUUGGGAACAUGCCUUGAGGUGGGGGACAACAGUUGGAAACGACUGCUAAUACCGCAUAAUGUCUACGGACCAAAGGGGGCUUCGGCUCUCGCCUUUAGAUUGGCCCAAGUGGGAUUAGCUAGUUGGUGAGGUAAUGGCUCACCAAGGCGACGAUCCCUAGCUGGUUUGAGAGGAUGAUCAGCCACACUGGGACUGAGACACGGCCCAGACUCCUACGGGAGGCAGCAGUGGGGAAUAUUGCACAAUGGGCGCAAGCCUGAUGCACCCAUGCCGCGUGUGUGAAGAAGGCCUUCGGGUUGUAAAGCACUUUCAGUCAGGAGGAAAGGUUAGUAGUUAAUACCUGCUAUCUGUGACGUUACUGACAGAAGAAGCACCGGCUAACUCCGUGCCAGCAGCCGCGGUAAUACGGAGGGUGCGAGCGUUAAUCGGAAUUACUGGGCGUAAAGCGUACGCAGGCGGUUUGUUAAGCGAGAUGUGAAAGCCCCGGGCUCAACCUGGGAACUGCAUUUCAAACUGGCAAACUAGAGUGUGAUAGAGGGUGGUAGAAUUUCAGGUGUAGCGGUGAAAUGCGUAGAGAUCUGAAGGAAUACCGAUGGCGAACGCAGCCACCUGGGUCAACACUGACGCUCAUGUACGAAAGCGUGGAGAGCAAACAAGAUUAUAUCCCU
rnacentral:rRNA from 1 species